rnacentral:misc_RNA from 1 species
GAUGAAGAACGUAGCGAAAUGCGAUAAGUAAUGUGAAUUGCAGAAUUCAGUGAAUCAUCGAAUCUUUGAACGCACAUUGCGCCCCUUGGUAUUCCGGGGGGCAUGCCUGUUCGAGCGUCAUUUCAACCCUCAAGCUCUGCUUGGUAUUGGGCUCCGUCCUCCUCGGACGCGCCUCAAAGACCUCGGCGGUGGCGUCUUGCCUCAAGCGUAGUAGAAACACCUCGCUUUGGAGUGCAUGGCGUCGCCCGCCGGACGAAACCUUUUGUAUUUUCUCAAGGUUGACCUCGGAUCAGGUAGGGAUACCCGCUGAACUUAAGCAUAUCAUAAGCGGAGGA